GUGCUCAAUUUGGCAGCACACAGACUAAAAUUGGAANGAUACAGAAAAGAUUAGCACGGCCCCUGCACAAGGAUGACAUGCAAAUUCGGAAAGCAUUCCAUAUUUAG
rnacentral:snRNA from 1 species